AAGUUGGUGAUAGCCGGAGUCAUGAGCAAGGACAUGAGCUUUGGCAAGCCUCCAAAGCCGAGCACCUGUGGAAUGCCAAGUUGGUAAAUACACUUGCUUCCACUGUGGUUUUCCGUCCAUGGGUGGGCUAGUAAGCUCGAUGGCCAGCGGCCGCAAUGUAGCAGCUGGUGUUAAGAAGAAGAGUGUCCUAGACCCAUAUAGCGUGGUGCUUUCAGUCUGUCUUACUUUACUCACAAAUG
rnacentral:misc_RNA from 1 species